rnacentral:tmRNA from 1 species
GGGGCUGAUCGGUUUCGACUUGGGACGUUUCGUUCCAGGGGAAGCGGGUCGAGGAUCCAGGGUUAUCUCGUUAACGAUCUCUGGAAACCAAUAACUGCCAACGCUAAGCGCAGUUCGUUCGCUCUCGCCGCCUGACGGCAGAGUGACGGGUCAGACUGAGGGCGCCUCCGCCUCAGAACCUGGCCUCAUCUAGGAGGCUUGCUGGAUCACGUGCGUCGAAGGCGUGCUCCGGGACUCAACUUCGACUGAGCCUGUCGGUGACGUGUCUGUACGAGCACCGGGGCUGAGAAAACGGUUGUACAGACUGCACCCGGAGAAGACCUGGCACUGCGCCGAAGGACGCGGGUUCGAUUCCCGCCAGCUCCACGA